UGGGGAAUAUUGCACAAUGGGCGAAAGCCUGAUGCAGCGACGCCGCGUGAGGGAUGACGGCCUUCGGGUUGUAAACCUCUUUCAGCAGGGACGAAGCGCAAGUGACGGUACCUGCAGAAGAAGCACCGGCUAACUACGUGCCAGCAGCCGCGGUAAUACGUAGGGUGCAAGCGUUGUCCGGAAUUACUGGGCGUAAAGAGUUCGUAGGCGGUUUGUCGCGUCGUUUGUGAAAACCAGCAGCUCAACUGCUGGCUUGCAGGCGAUACGGGCAGACUUGACUACUGCAGGGGAGACUGGAAUUCCUGGUGUAGCGGUGAAAUGCGCAGAUAUCAGGAGGAACACCGGUGGCGAAGGCGGGUCUCUGGGCAGUAACUGACGCUGAGGAACGAAAGCGUAGGUAGCGAACAGG
rnacentral:rRNA from 1 species